UACGGGGGGGGCAAGCGUUGUUCGGAAUCAUUGGGCGUAAAGAGCGUGUAGGCGGCCAGAAAAGUCCGCUGUGAAAACUCGAGGCUCAACUUCGAGCUGUCGGUGGAAACUUUCUGGCUAGAGUCCGGAAGAGGAGAAUGGAAUUCCUGGUGUAGCGGUGAAAUGCGCAGAUAUCAGGAAGAACACCCGUGGCGAAGGCGGUUCUCUGGGACGGUACUGACGCUGAGACGCGAAAGCGUGGGGAGCGAACAGG
rnacentral:rRNA from 1 species